GUCAAGUUUUCCGAGAUAAGCAGCUUCCGGACAGAGGUUUAAAAAUAUCAGCACAUUAUUUGUUCAGAUAAGGAGAUCACUGUAAUACAGAAUGAUACAGGUUGAGUCAUAUACUAAUCGGUCAGUGAAAACAAAAGAUGACGCUGCCACACAAACAGUGCUUUUAAUUUGUAGUAACGAUCGCUCCGGUUCCGGUCGUGUUGACUUGAGGUUAGCUUGACGCGACACACGGAGGGUGAGGGAUGUCCGCGUUCGUCCCCGGGCAGCAGGAGCUGCUGGACAGACACGAAGACAUGUGAGUGUGUGGUUGGUCAGUGUGUCCGUCAGCAGUGUCUGUGGCGUCUGUGCUUCCUCCACGGACACACAGCACGACUCUGCUCCACGCAGUUAGCGAGCUGAGCUGACGGACGUCACGGACUUCAGUUCCCUUUAGGGAGGCGAGCAGAGUUGCUGGAGCAGAUGAAGAUCCAGAGGAAGCAGCAGGUGGAGGAAUCUGAGGCCGCUCACCACAGGAACAGCACACUGCUGCAGGAUUUACAGACGGUAGAAGAUGGUCUCAGGGGGAAACAGCUGCCACGCCCGGAUCUCCUGGCUCUGGAGACAAGAUACUGGGCGUCUGUGGAAGAGUCGAUCCCAGCCUGGGAGCACUUCCUCCUGGGUAAAGGCCCACAUCCUGCUGAUGGUCCAGGACAGCCACCCAGAAGAGCCAAACAGAAACCCAGCACAGCUAAAAACCAAGGUCUGCCUCCUCGGCCAAAACCCAAGACUGCUCGAUAGGUGAGCGCUGACGCUGAUGGUGGAGCCUGAAAGAUAUGUUUGAUGUUCCAUGAUGCAGAUGAUCACCUGCUGACUCAAUACCCGGUGGACUGUCCUCCAGACUAGGGCUGGAUACUGGAGGUUACAGACUGACUGACUGACUGACUGACUUGAAAAACUACAUAAUGCUAUGAGCCAAAUUCAUCUUUAACUUUUAUUCUGCUUUCUUUCAUUUUCGCUUGAUAAAUGACAUUCAGCAUCUGUGUGCGGGAGGUAGAAAGACUCUGUAACCACAAAGGAAGAAGUGGAAGAAAUGGAAAUGAUUAUUCACAUGGUGUUAUACACACUACUCACAAAAAGUGUGCACCUAAAAAGCACCAUAACCUUUCCAGGUGAACUUUAUUUGACCUUCUCCAAACUUUUGAAUGCACAUGUCCAACUGUUCAGUAUUUCAGUACUUAUUGCAUAACAUGCUGUUCUCUAACAAGGUGAUUAAAAAUCAUAACAAGUGUGUGAUCCAUGAAUGGACCACCAAAUGUUCUGCUUCAGUGACAGUUUGUAUUGAAACAGUCCUCUUCAUCAUGCUGUUCACAUUUUGACAUCAUGACACCAAGACGACCCAACAAUCCAUCAAGAGUACCUGGUCAGUGUGAGGCUUCACACGGGAAGUACUCAGAGGGAAGUUACCACUGAGCGCUGAGUGUCACGAGUGUCAUCAGCAGGUUGGAAUAAGUCCACUUGUGAACAGCAUGAGACUUCUAGUUGAGCUGUGAUCGAUGCUCAAGGUCACAUGACAAGUUACUGAGACAUUCAAAUUUGUUGCUGUUGUGGUAUACACACCACUGUUGUCAUUUUUUAUUUCAAUAAAUUGUUUGAGAUGAAGAAAUUAUGACUGCAUGCUUCUAAUGUAAAUAAAUGCUCUACUUUCAUGAUAUGAUAUCACUAUAACAUUUUACAUAAAUGAAAUAAGUUGAAUAUCCCUAUAGCUUUUUGUGAGUAGUGUAUAUCAUAUUUCAUGUUGUUGUACACAGUUCAUACACAGUUAAUCCCGGUAUAUCACGACGCCCCUACCAAUCCAAUCCAAUGUGUCUCCUCUGAGAACGGGGAUCCACCUUCAAUGCACAGACAUCAGUCCACCAAAUCCAGUCAGCAAAUCUUUUUUACAGUACCUGGAGUUGGACUGUAAAAAAUAAGAUUGAUUAUAUGAAUAGAGUGAUGACUCAACAUUUUGUUAUUGUUAGUUAUUCACAUUUGUGUACAAAGCAGAAAGUCUCUUCUGACAGGAGCAUGAGCCUGGUGUGUUGCUGUGCUUGCCUGUGCUGCUGAGAGCUCUGCAGUGUUGUGUCAAAGCCACUAGAGGGAGCCAGUGUCAGAUAAAUGUGGACUGUGUGUGUGUGUGUGAGGACUGUCUAUCUGUACUUCUACAACCAAACUGCUCAAACUCUGUCCAUCUGGUGGGACAGUCAGUGCUCAGCUGAUGAUCACACUGAAUUCAGGUUUUGUUUUCACUGGAUUAUUGAGCAGAGAUUCACAGGUCUGCAACCAGGCCACUCAAACAGGACUUUUAAUUCUGCACUUGUGUCUAUAACAGAUCCCAAAACUGAAGUGGAAGAAUAAAUCAUCUGUUGUUGAUAUAUAUCGCUAUAUGACCAAAUCUCCAAAAUGACCGGCUGAAUAAUCAAACUGAAAUCUGAGUUGUGAAUUUGGACAAUAUGAUCACAAUAUGAAUCCACCAAAAGAAUCUUUGUUGUACAUUUGUUACAGUUCAUUGUUUGUGAGGAGAUGAGCAUCAUACAUACUGAAAGAAAAAAAAGUCUUGAACUAAAUGUUCCUCUGGUGCAGCAGUGUCCCUCCAGCUGUAUGAGCUACAUUCUGAUUUGUCUUUGCUUUUGUCAGCUUCUAUUUGCAAGACGAGCCUAUGCAGUCUGACUGCUUCAUUCACAGGGUUACUGGGGGUCACGACAGCAGCACAUUUUAUCUGGCUCAAACAGUCACAGUUGUGUGUGGACAUACAGAACGGAGACUUGGCCACAGCGACAGAUGAGUAAUGAGUAACGUCCCUACGAUGUGUCACCAAAUGCAAAAAAACAGCACCUGCUUCUUCACUGCCAGGGUGGAUUGACCCCCCCCCCACCACCACUUACCUCCUGUUUCUACAUCACCAGAGAUGGCACCUCCUCCCUCUCUUUAACCUCUAAUUUUGGGUGAUCAGACCAGCGCCCGGCUGACGCGGAGUGGCGGCUUGACAGACGCAAUCAUCCGGACAGCCGGGGUUGAAGUGGCCAGUGGUUGGCAGCUGCCCCGGCUCCUCAGCUGGGGCCCCAGCACCACAAGCCCUCGGGGGACUGAUCUAGCCACCGGCCACCACUGACUGGACCAGUCUGGACUGUAGGGGCUGGGCAGUGGGGUGCUGGUUUAGUAAGGGAGGAUUCAAGGAAGGUAGGGGUUGGGGGAGAGGUGUUAGGGCUGUGUGUCCAAUCAUGGGUGACAGGGUCAGUUGGUCGGGUGGGUGAAGGGGGGGAUGGUGAAGAUGUGAUGUAGCAAAUUAUCUAAGGGGUUUUGAAGAGCACGAUCUGGAGCCCUUCCAAAUGACUAGCCCUGCAUUAUGUAUUGUAAUGGCCGAGGCCCCGGGGGUGCUGAGGGCGAGCCGCCGCUGUUGUCAGUGACCAGAACUCAUGCACCACCAACAACAAUGACCCCUCAGCCAGCAGGCCGGCUCUCCUCCAGCCUUGCUCAGUCUCUGGUGGCAUGGCAUGAAUCCGGAGCCAUAUGAUUAUGCAAUGCAGUUCGGCUAUUGAGAGCCCACUGAAAGCCCUGACAGAUAAUUGGCUGAGCCCAGAGCCGCGCAAAUGGUUAAGUGUCGACUCCAGUUGAUUGGAUAAUGGGCAAUUGCACGCUGCAUUUCAUUCAGUGAUAUGCUGCGGGUGUAGCAGGGGCAAGUGAAGGGGAGGGAAAGAAUGAAGGAGGGAAAAUAUUUUGGCGUGCUGCGUUUCUGCAGCCUGUUAUCUCACACACUGAGUCUGUUGCAUUUGUUUGAAUCUGGAGCCCGGAGAGAUCACAGAUUUGUAUCAACUGCUGAUUCCAUUUAAAUUGCAAAUGACAUCAUUUCAUUGUUGAGGAGUUACAUUCUUUCAUUUUCUCUCUCAGUUUUCAUAUUUCACAGAUGAGGGCGUCAUGCCUGGUGGCGCUGUUUUGAGGCUUCCCUCUGACCCAGUAUGAGCUUGCAAGUCUCUCCUUUUGAUCAUGGCAUGUCAGCUCGACUUAAGAGCCCAGGCUGCCAGCUCUUUGUCUAUUCCUUCACAGAGGCCUUGGCUGUUGACAUGUUGUCUCACAUCAAAUAGAAGGCUUUAUGUUGUACACUAAGAGGAAGCAACACUGGCCUUAAGGUAGCCCGGCCCAGCUCCCCGGUGACUCUAACAUUUCCUCUUUAACAGCCCCUCACUUCACUCGUGUCAGUGUAAUCACACACCUCUCAGCUCUCAGAUCCUCACAGCAGAUUUUUCUUCACAUUUUGUGCACUUAAACAGAACACGCUCUCUCAAGCUAAUGUGAAAAUUCUUCCUUGGCUGGACUCGAAUAUACUUGAGCUGCAUUAUUGCUCUUCUAGAGAAGCCCAGCGGGGGGGGGUUGUGCUUGCUGAAUUCCACUUAUCGAUUGGGCUUUCACAGACGUCGCCUGGUAAAGUCAGAAUGUGCGGUGCUAUUCAUAUCGACUGAUGGAUUAAGUGGGCAGCUGAAAGGACACGUAUGAAUUUUGUGUUUGUGUACCUGUGCCUUUUGUUGAUAUUGAUUCUGCCCGGGCAUGGAUCCACACAUGGCACCAGCAUGUUGUGUUUGAUUUUUAAUGAAGUCCUUUAUCACGCUCUAAUCAGUUUGCUAUCACAUACACCAGUCUGACCAAACACUUCAAUUAGUUUCUUACUCUGGAAAAAGCACAUAGAUAAUCACUGUGCUACCUCUUUUGGCCACUCUCACUUCUUCCCUGUGUUAAACGAGGAGGACCCAGCAAACAUUCAAGUGCAUCUUCUGAGGUUAGAGUUAAAUGGUUAAGUGGGGAACACCUGCUGCCCCAUCAGUACAUGAAUAUGUAGAGGCAGUCCACACUCUGAGUAGUGUCUGUGUAUAGAAACUAUGCACAGUGUGUGCAUUCUAAUUGAUAUUGAUGUUCUCAUCGAUCUAAAUGUGUUAACUUGUUGUUAUGUUUGACUCGUAACAGUCAGAAUGUAAUGCAGAGUGAGGUGGUCAGUGGUUGAAUAUUAAUUGCCCUUUUUGCAUCCAAUUCUUUUUCCUCAGUCUCAAAUCAUUCCUCCAGUUUCCUGCACAGAUGUAGAAAAGACUUUUUCAAAUCUCAGCACUGAACAUAACAUAACAUAAAGUGUGACGGAAUGUUAAUCAGUUUGCAGAAUAUCAUCCAGUAUCAACAAUUCUGUCUGUCCAUCAGGUUGAUCAACACACGUGGACUCACUGUAGGACUGUGGGACUCUUGUUAGACUGUCAUAUGGAAAUGAUUUGUCAAUGACUUAAUUAGUUGAUUAACAAACAAUUUGCAUACAAAUUCUGUUGUGUUGUUGUUUUUUUUAAGCAAUGGAUGAAGUGACUGAGAAGAGCAGUGCUAAUGCAUGUUGCACUGGCAUGAUUUAUGUGAUAUUGAUAGCUAUUAUUUAUGCUAUGUAUAUGAAGACAGCUGUCCUCGUGUCUUGUUUUUGUCAGACACUGACUAGAAUGAAACAUACUUGUUGUGUUUGGAGACAUUUCUUUGUUAUAUUCACGGUUGAGGAUAUUGAAUCCAGCCGAUCUUGGUGUGAUUCUGUUUACUGUGGGCCGUCCCACUAAGUGAGUUCUUCUUAGUCACACUCUCGUCUCACAAAGGUUUUUCUAGUGAAUCCUCAUCCUAUAGUGAUCUCAGCUUGUUGCACUGCAUCACUAUGUAGAGUUCCAUUAAAUCUGAGGGGGGUCUUUUAAUUGUGUGAGCUAGCAGUGUGGUACAUCAUUAACACGGUGGUCUUAAGUAAAGGAGGAGGAGAGGACGUUUCCCAGCAGGGCCAGGUCAGGUCAAAGAGAUUAGCCAUGGCACCGGACAUCCCCAAAUCAACUGAUCCUCCCUAACAAUGACGCACUGCUUUAAUGCCACAAGAAAAGAGCUGAGUGCAGCCGGAGUGUGAUGGGGAACAUGGCUGGUUGGUUUGCAGCAGCAAAGGAUCAAAUUAAUUUGCUUCUAAUUAACUGGACAAAGAGAUACAUAUUUGAAUAGAUUGUGGUGUUUGUGUGUGUGUGUGUGUGUGUUUUUGUUCAGCACACAUACAGUUGUCUCUAAAAUGGCCGCCGUCUGUCAUUAUGCAAAUAUAGUCCAAAAUGCUACAUUUCUGUGGCUCCUGUAUUCAGGUUUUUUUUUUUUGUUGUUUUUGUUUUUGAAAACUCUACAUGAAUUAUUUAUUCUUGUUUCUAUAUUUAUUUCAACUCUAAAUUGCUUGUCAUAAGACAUUUUGUUAAUGAAUUUGAUGAUAAAUGUGCAAACAAAAAGGCCAAAUUUCAGACUAGAAUCAUUUGCUGUGUUCUCACGUGGACCUGUCACAGGCUUCAUUUAUUUACAAUGUGUACAAGUGUGAAUGACGUAUAUGAAAUAUGUAACAGUGAAUCUAAUGACUGUUUUCAUCCAGUUCAUUCACUGAGUGUUCGAUCCGUCGGUUAUUUUGAUUACUUGAUCAUUGUUCCCAGUUAUCUUGUAGACAUUCACGUUGAGAAAAAUGUUUUGUGAUAAAUCGAUGACAGAAAAUCAAUUAUCCAAAUUGCUAGCAAACAACUUCAUUUCAGUUUAUGUCACUUUUAGUUUGUUUCACACCACAACAGACAUGACUGUGGCAGUAAAUCAGUGAAUAUUUGCAGUGUUGAGACAUUUUUGGUCAUGAAAUGGUUAAACAAUUAAAAAGAAUGGUAUGAGCCUUU